rnacentral:rRNA from 1 species
GACGAACGCUGGCGGCGUGCUUAACACAUGCAAGUCGAACGGAAAGGCCCUGCGUUUGCGGGGUGCUCGAGUGGCGAACGGGUGAGUAACACGCGAGUAACCUGCCCUUGACUUUGGGAUAACUUCAGGAAACUGGGGCUAAUACCGGGUAGGAGCUCCUGCUGCAUGGUGGGGGAUGGAAAGUUUCGGCGGUUGGGGAUGGUCUCGCGGCUUAUCAGCUUGUUGGUGGGGUAGUGGCUUACGAAGGGUAUGACGGGUAGCCGGCCUGGGAGGGUGACCGGGCACAUUGGGCCUAAGGUACGGCGCAGACUCCUACGGGCGGCAGUGGGGGGGAAUAUUGCGCAAUGGGGGGAAGCCUGAUGCAGCAGCGCCGCGUGCGGGAUGACGGCCUUCGGGUUGUAAACCGCUUUCGCCGGUGACGAAGCGUGAGUGACGGUAAUGGGUAAAGAAGCACCGGCUAACUACGUG